rnacentral:misc_RNA from 1 species
GUAUAAUGCAUACGCUGUAGUUUAUAACUUCCAGUAAUCAUCUGUUCUCACGCUGAGGUGUGACGGUGGGAUUUACCCUCGUCCGAUCAAUCGCAUCCUGACCAUCCACAGGAAACGGGACCCACCCACGUGGAAAAAGUUUGGGCCAUCGGUAAAGCACCAGCCGGCUAUAAAUGAACACGCCUGCCUGUUAUUAAACCUGCC